rnacentral:rRNA from 1 species
UACUCUACGGGAGGCAGCAGUGGGGAAUUUUGGACAAUGGGCGCAAGCCUGAUCCAGCAAUGCCGCGUGCAGGAUGAAGGCCUUCGGGUUGUAAACUGCUUUUGUACGGAACGAAAUGGCUCUUUCUAAUAAAGAGGGCUAAUGACGGUACCGUAAGAGUAAGCACCGGCUAACUACGUGCCAGCAGCCGCGGUAAUACGUAGGGUGCGAGCGUUAAUCGGAAUUACUGGGGUAAAGCGUGCGCAGGCGGUUAUAUAAGACAGAUGUGAAAUCCCCGGGCUCAACCUGGGACCUGCAUUUGUGACUGUAUAGCUAGAGUACGGUAGAGGGGGAUGGAAUUCCGCGUGUAGCAGUGAAAUGCGUAGAUAUGCGGAGGAACACCGAUGGCGAAGGCAAUCCCCGGACCUGUACUGACGCUCAUGCACGAAAGCGUGGGGAGCAAACAGGAUUAGAUACCCUGGUAGUCCACGCCGUAAACGAUGUCAACUAGCCGUUGGAAUCCUUGAGAUUUUAGUGGCGCAGCUAACGCAUUAAGUUGACCGCCUGGGGAGUACGGCCGCAAGAUUAAAACUCAAAUGAAUUGACGG